rnacentral:misc_RNA from 1 species
AACGCACGAGACCUGCGGACCUGCGGAGGGAUCAUUAUAGAGUGGUAAACCCCCCGUAAAAGGGGGGGACCUCCUGUCCUUUGUAGGCUCUUUUUUAAAAGGGCUUUUUUUAAUUUUCUGCUUCGGUGGGGUUAUCCCACCGGAACAACCUCAAAACUCUUAUCAAAAAAUCGUUCUGUCUGAGAACCUUUUAUAAUAAAAAAAAACUUUCAGCAAUGGAUCUCUAGAUCGGAAGAGCAC